GACGAACGCUGGCGGCGUGCCUAAUACAUGCAAGUAGAACGCUGAAGAGAGGAGCUUGCUCUUCUUGGAUGAGUUGCGAACGGGUGAGUAACGCGUAGGUAACCUGCCUUGUAGCGGGGGAUAACUAUUGGAAACGAUAGCUAAUACCGCAUAACAAUGGAUGACACAUGUCAUUUAUUUGAAAGGGGCAAUUGCUCCACUACAAGAUGGACCUGCGUUGUAUUAGCUAGUAGGUGAGGUAACGGCUCACCUAGGCGACGAUACAUAGCCGACCUGAGAGGGUGAUCGGCCACACUGGGACUGAGACACGGCCCAGACUCCUACGGGAGGCAGCAGUAGGGAAUCUUCGGCAAUGGGGGCAACCCUGACCGAGCAACGCCGCGUGAGUAAAGAAGGUUUUCGGAUCGUAAAGCUCUGUUGUAAGUCAAGAACGAGUGUGAGAGUGGAAAGUUCACACUGUGACGGUAGCUUACCAGAAAGGGACGGCUAACUACGUG
rnacentral:rRNA from 1 species